CAGAGAAUAGUUUAGUUUAGAAUCCUAGCUUUGGGAGUUAGGGGUAGAAGUUAAAAUCUUCUUUCUUUGA
rnacentral:tRNA from 1 species